UACGGGGGGAGCAAACGUUGUUCGGAAUUACUGGGCGUAAAGGGCGUGUAGGCGGUCAGCACAAGUCAGUUGUGAAAUCUCCGGGCUUAACUCGGAAAGGUCAACUGAUACUGUGCGACUAGAGUGCGGAAGGGGCAACUGGAAUUCUCGGUGUAGCGGUGAAAUGCGUAGAUAUCGAGAGGAACACCUGCGGCGAAGGCGGGUUGCUGGGCCGACACUGACGCUGAUGCGCGAAAGCCAGGGGAGCGAACGGG
rnacentral:rRNA from 1 species